UACGUAGGGGGCUAGCGUUGUCCGGAAUCAUUGGGCGUAAAGAGCGUGUAGGCGGCCCGGUAAGUCCGCUGUGAAAGUCGGGGGCUCAACCCUCGAAUGCCGGUGGAUACUGUCGGGCUAGAGUGCGGAAGAGGCGAGUGGAAUUCCUGGUGUAGCGGUGAAAUGCGCAGAUAUCAGGAGGAACACCGAUUGCGAAGGCAGCUCGCUGGGACGGUACUGACGCUGAGACGCGAAAGCGUGGGGAGCAAACAGG
rnacentral:rRNA from 1 species